rnacentral:rRNA from 1 species
GGAGAAAGCAGGGGAUCGCAAGACCUUGCGCUAAAGGAGCGGCCGAUGUCUGAUUAGUUAGUUGGUGGGGUAAAGGCCUACCAAGGCAACGAUCAGUAGCUGGUCUGAGAGGACGAUCAGCCACACUGGGACUGAGACACGGCCCAGACUCCUACGGGAGGCAGCAGUGGGGAAUUUUGGACAAUGGGCGAAAGCCUGAUCCAGCCAUGCCGCGUGAAUGAAGAAGGCCUUCGGGUUGUAAAGUUCUUUUAGUUGGAAAGAAAAAAUUAUGAUGAAUAAUCAUAAUUCAUGACGGUACCGACAGAAAAAGCACCGGCUAACUACGUGCCAGCAGCCGCGGUAAUACGUAGGGUGCAAGCGUUAAUCGGAGGUACUGGGCGUAAAGGGUGUGCAGGCGGCCUUGUAAGUCAGAUGUGAAAGCCCCCCCGGGGGC